GACGAACGCUGGCGGCGUGCUUAACACAUGCAAGUCGAACGGAAAGGCCCUGCUUGCAGGGUACUCGAGUGGCGAACGGGUGAGUAACACGUGGGUGAUCUGCCCUGCACUUCGGGUUAAGCCUGGGAAACUGGGUCUAAUACCUGAUAGGAGCCAUUUUGAGUGUGAUGGUUGGAAAGUUUUGUCGGUGUAGGCUGAGCUCGCGGCCUAUCAGCUUGCUGGUGGAGUAAUGUCCUACCGAGGCGGCUACGGGUGGCCGGCCUGAGAGGGUGGACGGCCACCUAGACACUGACGUGAGGCACCGACUGCUAAGGGUGGGAGAUGGGCGGAAUACUGAACGAGGAGCGCCGGGCGGAUGAAGAGAGGCCGCGGGGGGGAUGACGCUCUUAGGGUUGAAAAACAAAUUCGCUAGGGACGAAGCUUUUUGUGACGGUACCUAGACAAGAAGCCCCGGCUAACUACGUG
rnacentral:rRNA from 1 species